CCAAAUAUUUACUUCCAGUUCAUUUGCUGUGUCCAACUAUUUGCUAUGUGUCUACCUUGACGGAGGUUUUCUCUAACUGCUGUGUCUGCUCAGCACAGAGACGUGCACCUGCUGUCUCAUGGGUACGGUCUGAACUGGGAGGACACCAUCCUAAGCAGGUGCAUUGUGACAUGAAAAUCCACCCUAGCUGAGCAGGCAGAUGUGUACUCCCACCUGCAAUGUGUCACUACUUAUACAUAUUUGUCCUGACCUGUGAUGUCUCUCUAGUCACCCAGUGGUAACUAUUCUGACCAGGUGUCUCUACCCUGACUUGGAAUAUCUCCCUGACUCUCCAAGUGUGUCCUAACUGACCUAGGAUGGCUCCCCAGUUCCACAGGUUUGCAGUGUCUAAUUCUGUACGUGUGUCUAUCAAAAGAAAAUGCAAUGAGUUUUAUUGAGGUGAAUAUUGAGCAGGGAAAUAAACAUUUUGGGAACCGAGAAACAUUCAAACUGAAAGUGGCUAAGAAACUCUGCUCUCGGCUAUUACAGCUCAGUUUAUAAAGCAUAAAUAUGGUAUCCAUCCAUGAGCAAAAGUGCCUCUGGGAUACAGCUCCAUAUGCCAAAGGAUCUGGGAAGAGUGUCACCCAACUGUGCAUCCAGUAGUAAGCACACAGAUCUCCAUAGGGACUGCAAACCCGGCUGGAGCCAGGGAGCCUGCCCAAGCCCUCUCACUGCCGUCAAGGAAACCUUGAGAGUGCUAACUUGGACAGACACCCACAGGCAAGGGAGGCCUUGUGGGAGUCCAGCCUGCCCCAAGGGGAGGUUUCAGCAUGUCCUUGGAGUCUGGAUGUACUGGAAAUGGUAAGAAGAACUUUGCCAGUACCACCCCUCCACAAAGGUGACACUUACAGGGGGCUCAACAAACAGGCAGCAACCUCUCCCAUGGUGGGAGGGAGAACCUGGAGUACAUGGCUUCCCCAGCUAUGUGGGAUACUGCAGGAGAAACCCAUUUCUCUCUGGCAGCACCCAGAGUACUGAGGCAGGAUGUCCAUGACUCUAGGGAAGAGAAGAUCAGAGAGCACUGGAGGGACACCAUCCUGACGACAGGAUGUCAACUAGAAGUUCACCCAUGAGCUUCUGAAAGAACCUCACCUGAGGAUCCCCAGCACCCACAGUACUGAACCCACACCUCCCCAGUGCUGUGGCUGGCUCCCUGGGCACAGAGGAGACACCAUCCAGGUAUCUGUAGUGCCCCCUUCUGGGAAAUGAGACAGGUAAGUUCUACAGACCAGAGAAGACAUUCAAGCUCAAGAAUUAUCCCUCAAGAGGGGGCAGAAGCAUGGAGCAGGUGCAUCCACACAGAGACAGAGAAAGUCCAGAUCUAACAGUACCAACUAACAGCACCUCCCACCUGAAGGCAACUUGCAAAGACUGAGGUGGCGUCCACCACUCCACAUCCCAGAGCAGGAACACAAAACUACAAGGAAUGUGAAGAAUCAAGGAAUAUGUCACCACCAAAAGGUAACAAUAAUCCUCCAAUAACCAAACAUAAAGGCUGAAUGAAGUUUGUGAUCUAGCUGCUGGCAGUGGCACAAAAACAGACAUAUAGAACCAUGGAACAGAAUAGAGAGCCCAGAUAUGGACCUUCGACAAAGGAGGAAAAAAUAUG